UACGGAGGAUGCGAGCGUUAUCCGGAUUUAUUGGGUUUAAAGGGUGCGCAGGCGGCUGGUCAAGUCAGCGGUCAAACUGCGGGGCUCAACCCCGUACCGCCGUUGAAACUGGCCUGGCUGGAGUUCGUUGGACGGACGCGGAAUGCGUGGUGUAGCGGUGAAAUGCAUAGAUAUCACGCAGAACGCCGAUUGCGGAGGCAGCGUCCGACAGCGCGACUGACGCUCAUGCACGAAAGCGUGGGUAU
rnacentral:rRNA from 1 species